rnacentral:lncRNA from 1 species
GCUGCCUCCUCUGACUGUGGUGGAGCAGCUCAGCAGGAUAAUAAGCUUACUCGCCUGACCUUGGGUCUCUCUCUCAUCCUUUCUCUUGGCUAACCUUCAUUUUGGUGCCAAAACCCAGGAAGGGGAUAGGCUCUGGCUGGGCGUCCUUAGAGGAUUCUCUCUCUCUCUCUCCUAUCAUCCCUUACCCAGCCAACCUCCCCUUCCCGAACCUGCUAAAGACCCUAAGGAUCUCCCAAAAUUCUCCCAUUGUUGGCCACCUCAUCCACCAUCAAAGCCUCUGAGAGGGUUUUUACAGGGCCGUGUUAGAGCCUUCACCCAUGGAACAGUACAAGACAUGAUGCUACUCCGAGAAUACCGACAGCUCCAGGAACAGCAGUCCCUACUACCCAGCCUCUCCCCCCAACCAUCGCCCCUAUCCAGCAAGAAGCAGCCAGAGGACAACGGCGCCCCUCUUCUAUUACCUAUUAAAAGGCUGGAAUGUUAGGAACAAGUUGCACCAGAACCCCUCCCCCUUCCCACCCGCCCCCGCACCCCCCCCCCCCCACCCAAUGCAGCUGUCCCUUACCCUGAAUACUCUGCAGCUGCAUUCCUGGACCCUUAUCUAGGCACUACAGCAAGGUCACCAGACUUGCUUACAGCCCUACGGGCAGCAUGGGGGAGGUCACGAGAAACGUGGAUAAACCUAAGUUACACCCUCUUGUAAAUUCCUAUAUUGUAACCUGGUCACGAGAUGAUAUGUGGUAAGGUUAACCAACAAACAACCCCAGGGUCUCUCUCCCCCAUAUAAAACCCUCAUUUUGUAAGCUCAGGGCUGCCUCCUUUGACUGUGGUGAAGCAGCCUGGCAGGUUAGUAAACUUACUCUCCUGACCUUGGGUCUCUCUCUCGUCCUUUCUCUCGGCUAACCUUACAGCGCCCUCAUCCAUUCUCCAAUUAUAAUGUGUUUACACCUUUCCUCCUGCAUGUCUCACAUUUUACCUUGUCAUCCUCUUACUUGUGUAUGUGUCUAUGCCUCCCAGCAUUUGACAGUACCUGAAGGUCAAAGCCUAUCUGCUGUUUACCCUUACAAUUCUAUUCACUCGGCACGCACUAGGCACAGAAUAAAUGCCAUUCAUCCCUACUUUUACUUCAGGGUACAUUUUAGAGAUCUAAGAUUUGGUGUAUCUUUCCCAUUAUCCAUUCUUAUUGCCUCAAGGCUCUCCUCUUAUAAAUCUAGUGGUAUGCAUUACUUUGGGGGUAAGGACAAAUUUAUCCAGAACAGAGAAGAUUUAGUUCAGUCUUUAGUUUUAAAAUAAGCAUUUUUAAGUAAUAGCAGAGACAAAAGUCUGAAAGCCAACAUAGUUUUAAUUUAAAAGAAAUUUGAUUUUGCUACAGCUUUUUGGCCAGGAGUAAGUGAGGAUGCUGUUUCGAAAGCUGGUUUUGCAUCUUAAGCAGUACGGUGUGGGUCUUAGGGGCUGGAGUGUAUCUUGCAGGAAACACAGAGUAGGCAAGAAUGUGAGGUGGUGUAAGACUAGUUUGUCUGGUUCAAAAAGUAAAAAAGAAGACUGAAAAAAGUAGGAAAUCUAACCCAAAGCAAUCAAUCUUUGAGAAGAGCCCAGCACACUUCCCUUCCAAUUGAUUUGUCCUACACCCCUCCAUGAGCCUAAGCAUUAGAGCAGAAAUGACUGAGGGUAGCAUCCAAGCCACUGGGCCAAGGGGCACUGGUACGAUGAGGAUACCGUGUCCCACAAUUCUAGGGUAGUCUGGGAAAAACAAAGCAGAGUUCCUGAGAAGAAUGCAGUAGUGGCUGACAGAACCAGAAAGGGUGUUGUAGUGAUAUGUGGCCAUGACAUCAGAAGACUAAAAUGAGGCUAUGGAUAUUCCCUAGCAAAUGUCUGGGGAACAGAGGCCAAAGCCGAAAGCUCAAGAAUUAAUGGAAUGACUACACCUCAACGAAGGUUAUAGAUUAGUGAGGACUGAUGAGUACAAACCAGACUCACACAUCCAUCCUCAUCCUCACUCCCCACCCCCAGGCUACAAUAUUACAUAUAUGUCCCCUACUCCUGAGGGAUGGAAAAGAGGAUGGGUAGGAUAAGUUCAAACUGCUUUAAUGGCUAACAAAAUUCACCUUUAUUCCUUUUUAUUUUUAGUUGACAUGUAAAAAUUGUACAUAUUUAUUGGCUACAGAGUGAUAUUUUGAUACAAGUAUAAAGUGUGUAAUGAUCAAAUCAGAGUAAUUAGCACAUCAAUCACCUCAAAUAGUUAUCACUUAUUUGUACUGGGAACACUCGAAAUCCUUUUCUAGCUUUGAAAAAAUAUACAAUAAAUUAUUGUUAACUGUAUUCACCACAUAGCACUAUACAACAGUAGAACAGAAUUUAUUCCUCCUAUAUUGCUGUAAUUUUGUAUCUGUUAAUUAACCUCUCCCUAGCCUCCCCUCCCCCUACCCUUCCCAAUCUCUCAUAACCACAAUUCUACUCUCUAGAUCUAUGAGCUCAUUUUUUAAGUCCCUGCAUUUGAGUGAGAAGAUGAAGUAUUUAUCUUUCUGCGCAUGACUUGCUUUGCUUAACAUAAUAUCCUCCAGAUUCAUCCACGUUGGUGCAAAUGGAAGGAUUCCAUACUUUAUUUUAUGGCUGAUUAUUGUUCCAUUGUGUGUAUACCAUAUUUUCUUUAUUCACCUGUUUAUGGAUAUUUAUGUUGAUUCCAUACGUUUGCUAUUGUGAAUAGUGAUGCAAUAAACAUAGGGGCAUGCGUAUCCCUUUGAUAUACUAAUGUCCCUUCCUUUAGAUAAAUA